rnacentral:rRNA from 1 species
GACGAACGCUGGCGGCGUGCUUAACACAUGCAAGUCGAACGGAAAGGCCCUGCUUUUGUGGGGUGCUCGAGUGGCGAACGGGUGAGUAACACGUGAGUAACCUGCCCUUGACUUUGGGAUAACUUCAGGAAACUGGGGCUAAUACCGGAUAGGAGCUCCUGCUGCAUGGUGGGGGUUGGAAAGUUUCGGCGGUUGGGGAUGGACUCGCGGCUUAUCAGCUUGUUGGUGGGGUAGUGGCUUACCAAGACUUUGACGGGUAGCCGGCCUGAGAGGGUGACCGGCCACAUUGGGACUGAGAUACGGCCCAGACUCCUACGGGAGGCAGCAGUGGGGAAUAUUGCACAAUGGGCGGAAGCCUGAUGCAGCAACGCCGCGUGCGGGAUGACGGCCUUCGGGUUGUAAACCGCUUUCGCCUGUGACGAAGCGUGAGUGACGGUAAUGGGUAAAGAAGCACCGGCUAACUACGUGC